rnacentral:rRNA from 1 species
UUAAAUAAGUGUUAAAUGCUACCAUUAAACUUAUAUAUAUACGCAUAGACCGAUUUUGUUUACCGUAGUAACAAUUUCAGCGUGAAUCACCCAUCACACAGUGAAUCACUGAAAUUUACCCAAUAUCAGUAUCACUUACGCAACUGCAGACACAUGGUUAAUACAGUCACACUUGUCUUGACUUGGCGCAAUAAAAAUUUUCAUUGARACACCCGUUCACGCGGGCAGAUCGGUGAUCAUUUUUGUUUUGUUGGAUUCACGCAUACAAAAUUUUUUGAUUUCUCUGUAUCGCUUAUUCUUAAGGACAACGCGUUACACCGUGACAAAUUUCUUUAUGGAUAACUCAGGGAAAGUUUGGCUAAUACGUACGAGUACAUUUUUUUCUACACACACACACACACACACACACACUCAAAUUAUUUUUGUAUCGCUGUGUAUCAACUACUACUCAGCACUCAAUGGUAAACUUUGGCUGCGCUUGCGCGGUCAGUUUAAAGUUUAACUGCAACAUGAGAGACAUUGAGCACGCACGUGUUGUGUCUUCGGACGCUUCACAUCACGCUGAGCAGACUUUGCGAAGUUUACUUUGCGAAGCAUGUCAUACAAGCAUCUACAGCAUCAAGUCACAGGGUUGGCAAGUGUAUUUUUGAACCUUCAAAGCAGUCACGCAUACGGAAGAGUAGUUUCUGAUCCCAUAGAAGGAGCACCGUACAAUGAGAGACCGCUCUUAGUUCUAAGGAACGCAGCAGGCGCGUAAAUUGCCCAAUGCUAGUACCCUACAAUCAAAUUGUAUUUACAUGCGUUAACAAUUUACAACAUUACAAGUUUUAAUGACAGACAUUAUCAACACUUUCAUUUUUUCUGUUAUAUCAUACACAUAUUAUCCUUGUUCGUUGUACAUCAGCAUAUAUAGUAUUAAUUUAUUAUUUUACUGAGGCAGUGACAAGCUGUAACGGUUGAGUAUAAAAAUGACGAGUGUCUGGCAUUGCCGCUCUUUCGGGAGCUUGGCAAGUUGCCGACGCUUUGUGUGCUCAAUUGGAAUGCGGUGAGUUUAAGCAACUCAGAACCUUUGGACGGUGUUAGUA